AUUGAACGCUGGCGGCAUGCCUUACACAUGCAAGUCGAACGGCAGCACGGGGGCAACCCUGGUGGCGAGUGGCGAACGGGUGAGUAAAGCAUCGGAACGUACCCGGAAGUGGGGGAUAACGUAGCGAAAGUUACGCUAAUACCGCAUAUUCUGUGAGCAGGAAAGAGGGGGAUCGCAAGACCUCUCGCUUUCGGAGCGGCCGAUGUCGGAUUAGCUAGUUGGUGGGUAAAGGCCUACCAAGGCGACGAUCCGUAGCUGGUCUUAGAGGAUGAUCAGCCACACUGGGACUGAGACACGGCCCAGACUCCUACGGGAGGCAGCAGUGGGAAUUUUGGACAAUGGGGGCAACCCUGAUCCAGCCAUGCCGCGUGAGUGAAGAAGGCCUCGGUUGUAAG
rnacentral:rRNA from 1 species